rnacentral:rRNA from 1 species
AGUGAACGCUGGCGGUAGGCCUAACACAUGCAAGUCGAACGGCAGCACAGUAAGAGCUUGCUCUUACGGGUGGCGAGUGGCGGACGGGUGAGGAAUACAUCGGAAUCUACUUUUUCGUGGGUGAUAACGUAGGGAAACUUACGCUAAUACCGCAUACGACCUACGGGUGAAAGCAGGGGAUCUUCGGACCUUGCGCGAUUGAAUGAGCCGAUGUCGGAUUAGCUAGUUGGCGGGGUAAAGGCCCACCAAGGCGACGAUCCGUAGCUGGUCUGAGAGGAUGAUCAGCCACACUGGAACUGAGACACGGUCCAGACUCCUACGGGAGGCAGCAGUGGGGACUAUUGGACAAUGGGCGCAAGCCUGAUCCAGCCAUACCGCGUGGGUGAAGAAGGCCUUCGGGUUGUAAAGCCCUUUUGUUGGGAAAGAAAAGCAGCAGGUUAAUACCCCGCUGUUCUGACGGUACCCAAAGAAUAAGCACCGGCUAACUUCGUG